CCUACGGGUGGCAGCAGUGAUGAAUAUUUGUCAAUUUUCUCAAGCCUUAACCAUCCAAUUCUCUUGAGGGAAGACUGCCCUACUGGUUGUAAACCUCUUUUGCCGGGGAGCAAGCCUGAGCACGUGUGCCCAGGCGGAGAGUACCCGGAGAAAAAGCAUCGGCUAACCCGGUGCCAGCAGCCGCGGUAAUACGGAGGAUGCGAGCGUUAUCCGGAUUUAUUGGGUUUAAAGGGUGGGCAGGCGGUCUGUUAAGCAGGCGGUAAAAAUUCAGGGCUCAACCCUGUCGAGCCGUCGGAACUGGCAGCCUUGAGUGGGCGUGAAGUAUGCGGAAUGCGUGGUGUAGCGGUGAAAUGCAUAGAUAUCACGCAGAACGCCGAUUGCGAAGGCAGCAUACCGGCGCCCAACUGACGCUGAGGCACGAAAGCGUGGGGAUCGAACAGGAUUAGAUACCCGUGUAGUC
rnacentral:rRNA from 1 species